GCCAAUUUUAAAGUUUAAUUUCAAAAAGUCGGAAUGUUACCGGCGCGACCACCGGGUGUCAGUGUUGUUCUUCCCCAGAGAGAACUUCUCCCUUCCCCCACACAGACACGUCAGACUCCUCCUGCCACAGCACGCUACCUGACGCGGGAAUUUAACAUCACUUCAGGAUUCAUAAACGGUUUUUCAUCGACUUCUCUUUGAUUUAUUUGAAGGAAAAGGUUUGUGUCAUUGUUUUUAAUCAUUUAAACUAUUUCUGAAUGCAAAAGUAUGCAAAAUGAUGGUUCACAAGACAUAACUCUUAUUAAAAGUUUUAUUAGCGUCCGUUGGCUAGUCUGUAAUGCUCAGUAAAUCUAUAUGCUUGCUUUUAAAUGAUUUAAAUAUUUCGUUUGAUCAAACGUUUUAUGAAAUAUGUCUAAAAUGGCUUGUUUUAAUAAUUUUAGAAACGUUAGAAUGUAACGUAUUCUAAUGGUUUAGAAAUUCAGUUUAAAACAGAUAAAGUUAAUAUGAGGAGGAAACGUGUACGUUUUAAAUAAAUAAUCGUUUGUUGUAAAAGUUGAAAUCAAACUGAUGCUUUUAAUAUCAUGUUUAGAUCAUGAAACUUUAGCCUUGAGUUCACAGACAGGGUGUGAACUCUCAUUUGGUCUGAAAGUUACAGACAUUUUUAUCUUUUUCAAAUGUUUUUGAUGAUGCCCACUUAAAUCACAGUUUUGGCUCUUUUCCUCAGACCCUGAUGGAUAAAAGAUGGAUAUUUUUUUCCUGGAGAAGCUAAAACAAUGUCACUUUGAGGUUCUGAUACCAGCUUUUACAAAGUUAUUUACAGAGUUCACCAGACUUCUCUGUGUUAUUCCCUGACCAUGCCGACAAGCUAUUUGAAACUUGGGCACUGCAUUUUACAGACAGAAUCCUGCAACUUCCCAGCCAAGAACCAGGAGCAUCAACAAAUCACCUACAGAACCCCAUGAUGAUAUUCCAACUCCUGUCUACAAAAGUGGGAAGAAAAUCUUAAAGG